rnacentral:lncRNA from 1 species
UCACAAACCCCGCCGUGCUUCCCUAGCUGGCCGAAGAGGGCUGCACUCUCACUAGCUGAAUCAGCCUCCGAGCCAUGAACCCCCGCACUAACAGGCCCAUCGGCGAUAAAAGGGCCCAUCUCCGAAGUAAGCACCGCAACCUGGCCCUUCCCAGCGGUAGGAUCAGCACCAACCGAACUAAAGGGACACGCUGGGCUUUGAACAGAGGAAGAGGGACCAGGCCCAGGCUGAAAAAACAACGCAUUCGUGAAGACUGGCCCAACAGGGGGCCUUCCUUGAUCACCCGGCCCGCAAAGCCCCACCAGACCCGUCUUGCAAUAAUCCGCAGUAGAAGCAGCAGCUUGUAGGCCCAGGAACCCGUCCCCAGCUCUGGACUUGGGCCCAAGGUCCAC